rnacentral:rRNA from 1 species
ACGGGGUGCAGCAGGCGCGAAAACUUCACACUGGAGGCAACUCCGAUGAGGGAAUUCCUAGUGCUAGCACAUUAGUGUUAGCUUUUCUUAAGCGUAGAUAACUUAAGGAAUAAGGGCUGGGUAAGACGGGUGCCAGCCGCCGCGGCAAUACCCGCAGCCCAAGUGGUGGUCGAUUUUAUUGAGUCUAAAACGUUCGUAGCCGGUUUGGUAAAUCCUUGGGUAAAUCGAGAGACUUAACCUUUCGAAUUCCGAGGAGACUGCCAAACUUGGGACCGGGAGAGGCGAGAGGUACUUCUGGGGUAGGGGUAAAAUCCUGUAAUCCUAGAAGGACCGCCGGUGGCGAAGGCGUCUCGCUAGAACGGAUCCGACGGUGAGGGACGAAGCCCUGGGUCGCAAACGGGAUUAGAUACCCCGGUAGUCCAGGGUGUAAACGCUGCAGACUUGGUUGUUGGGGGCCCUACGGGGGCGUUUCAGUGCCCGGAGAGAAGUUGUUAAGUCUGCUAACUUGGGGGAGUACGUCCGGCAAGGAUGAACUUAAAGGAAUUGGCGGGGGGAGCAC